GAUGAAGAACGCAGCGAAAUGCGAUAAGUAAUGUGAAUUGCAGAAUUCAGUGAAUCAUCGAAUCUUUGAACGCACAUUGCGCCCGCCAGUAUUCUGGCGGGCAUGCCUGUUCGAGCGUCAUUUCAACCAUCAAGCCCCAGGCUUGUGUUGGGGACCUGCGGCUGCCGCAGGCCCUGAAACCAGUGGCGGGCUCGCUGUCACACCGGGCGUAGUAGAUUUUAUCUCGCUCAGGGCGUGCUGCGGGUUCCGGCCGUUAAAAAGCCUUUUUUACCCAAGGUUGACCUCGGAUCAGGUAGGAAGACCCGCUGAACUUAAGCAUAUCAAUAAGCGGAGGA
rnacentral:misc_RNA from 1 species